rnacentral:rRNA from 1 species
GAUGAACGCUGGCGGUAUGCUUAACACAUGCAAGUCGAACGGACUCUUCGGAGUUAGGGGCGGACGGGGGAGGAACGCGGGAGAAGCAGGCCGUGGGUUCGGGACAACCACUGGAAACGGAGGCUAAUACCGGUGGUGCCGAUAGGGAAAAGAGGAAUUUUCUGAAGAGGAGCUCGCGGCUGCUUAGCGCGGUGGUGGGGGAAAGCCCCACCAAUGCAGCGGUCAGUCGGUGGUCUGAGGGGAUGACCAGCCACAGGGGGUCUGAGACACGGCCCAGACCCCUGCGAGAGGCAGCAGUGGAGAAUUUUCCGAUGGGGGCAAGCGCGUGACAGCGCAGUACCGCGUGGGAGAAGGAGGCUCUUGUGUUGUAACGCUUUUUUCUUAGGGGAGGACAAAAUGACGGUACCUGAGAAAUCAGCACCGGCUAACUCCGUG